rnacentral:misc_RNA from 1 species
AAGUCGUAACAAGGUCUCCGUAGGUGAACCUGCGGAGGGAUCAUUACAUAAUAACCAGGCGGGCUGGACACCCCCCGCUGGGCACUGCUUCACGGCGUGCGCGGCGGGGCCGGCCCUGCUGAAUUAUUCACCCGUGUCUUUUGCGUACUUCUUGUUUCCUGGGUGGGCUCGCCCGCCCUCAGGACCAACCACAAACCUUUUGCAAUAGCAAUCAGCGUCAGUAACAACGUAAUUAAUUACAACUUUCAACAACGGAUCUCUUGGUUCUG